GACGAACGCUGGCGGCGUGCCUAAUACAUGCAAGUUGAGCGCUGAAGGUUGGUCCUUGUACCAACUGGAUGAGCAGCGAACGGGUGAGUAACGCGUGGGGAAUCUGCCUUUGAGCGGGGGACAACAUUUGGAAACGAAUGCUAAUACCGCAUAAAAACUUUAAACACAAGUUUUAAGUUUGAAAGAUGCAAUUGCAUCACUCAAAGAUGAUCCCGCGUUGUAUUAGCUAGUUGGUGAGGUAAAGGCUCACCAAGGCGAUGAUACAUAGCCGACCUGGGAGGGUGAUCAGCCACAUUGGGACUGAGACACGGCCCAAACUCCUACGGGAGGCAGCAGUAGGGAAUCUUCGGCAAUGGACGAAAGUCUGACCGAGCAACGCCGCGUGAGUGAAGAAGGUUUUCGGAUCGUAAAACUCUGUUGGUAGAGAAGAACGUUGGUGAGAGUGGAAAGCUCAUCAAGUGACGGUAACUACCCAGAAAGGGACGGCUAACUACGUG
rnacentral:rRNA from 1 species